ensembl:lncRNA
AUGGGGUGCUGCUUUAGUAAGGAGCUCAACCCCGGCCUGCCAAGUGAGAGGAGCGGUCUGUUACAGCCCCCGCGGAGUGAGGGGACAGACCGGGUAAGGCAGCACGCUGUGGCUGUGGCUCAGCAUGUGUGCUUGGACGAAGAGGACACACGUGUGGCAGAAGGACCGGCUCAGAGGAAGCGUCAGGAAGAAGAGGUCGGGCCUCCACAACGGGACCACAAAGUUGCGACGGAUUUGUCCUUGAUCGGCAGGGACGGCACCGCGGUGAGCGACGCUAUUAUUAACAGGACGGGGACAAACCUACACACAGACCAGCACAGGGAGCCAGGCGGGACACAUGCUCCUAGGCCCAGCUGUGAACCAGCACCGUAUAUGGAGGUGCCCACGCGCAGUCCAGCCAAACAGAAGAUUCUGGAGAAUGCCACACUCAGGGCUCAGUGGUUCAAUCAGCUCCCAAACGGGCAGCACAAACCGGCAAAAUGUUUGUCAGCUACCUCCAUGUUUCCCUCCCGCUCUGCUGACAUCAGGCAGAGCGAGGCGUCCGGCCAGCAACCCAACGCUGACCAGGACCAGGAGGAAAGCCAGGAGGUCUUUGUCGACACCGCGGCACUGUGUCAAGGUUUUGAGAUCAGGACCCGGAGCUUCUACAGCAUAUGUUCCAUCGACGUCGACGACCUUGAGCAAGAACACGUCCAAGGCCAAUCGCAAACAGCUGGAACGACACACUUCCACACAGCUGACGGAGGAACAGCUGCUCUGCCCUCUAUAGUGGAGUCUCCGGUCUCCAGCCAAUCACACACUGAGGCAUCCACAGUCCGGAACCACGUCGCUGAAUCCAAAACAGCCAGCCAGUCACACCAUGAGGAACCAGCUUCAGUUCAGUCUGCACAGACAAGCUCACCAGAGGAGACCACGGUAGCUCAUCCUGUUGUGUCUCAGCUGGUGGACUCCCCGUGUGACCCCCUGACCCCGUCCAGCAGUCGACGACCCCGUGAGGAACGCAAAGCGUCCGCGGCAGACGACACUCUGCUUGAAGCGUUGGACGGACAGACCGCUGCAGAGGAUGAAUCCAAGGAUUACAUGUCGAUGACGUCACACACAGACCAAAGUGCAGGUAUGGAGGAGGACGAUGAGCUCGUGCAGGGUGAGACGGUGGGAGGAUCCGAGCAGAGGGACGGUGUGUGUUCAGGGUUAGAGGGUGUUUACGUCGGGGGCCACAGAGCAGCACAGGAGACAGUGGGGGCUCCUCAGGAGGAGGAGUUAGAUUCUGACUUCAAUCCUCUGGACGAUCAUCUACCUCGCGAGGCUCACCUGUUGACCCAGCAGGGAGGCACCAGUUCACCAGCGCCAGAUGAACCUGCUCACCCAGACACGCCCAGCCUGAGUCCUCCAGAGCCGGACUUCCACCCACAACCGCCACUCAGUGAGGGCAAACCGCCGCUAAAGAGCAACGCCAUCCCUGUGUGCGACGGCAGAGUGCACAGUGAGGAAGAGGAGGAGGCCGUACACAGCGGAACAGCAGAGACAACUCUUACCUCCGUGUCCUCUGUGUCCUCGGUGUCCACCAUCUCAAUCGUGUCUUCUCUUCCCGUUGAACUCACUGCCUUUUCCUGCCACACAAAUGCAGACCUGCAGAACACAUCUCACCCCCGUGACUCCAUCCCGUCUAACUGCAUCAGAUCCGACCAAUCAGACGACCCCGCCUCUGAACUGAGCAGCACCGAGCCUCCUGGUCAAGACGUUGAAGCUCCAUCCUCUGACUGUGAGCUCAGCAAUCACAGGUUGGACGACAGCGGAAAACAGCUCAAUGGUCCUGAUGUGGAAUCUGACGUUGCCAUGGUCACAGACGAGGAUGUCCUCAUUAGCGACAAACAGCCUGUUGGAAAAACCAAACCAGAAAUCGGCGAGACAAGCAAACAAGUAGCGACAGAUUUUACAGAUGUUUUACCUAAAAAGCACCAAAACGGUUUCCUGUUGUCAGGGCAAGGGGACUGCCACACUCCCCCAAAAUCAGUCCCCUCCAGUGUUUCCUCUGACAGCGUGAAGCCUAAAGUCCACCUGCACGUGACAACGUCUGCACUGAGCAGCAACAUUCCUCCAGAAGCCCCCGAGACCCCGGCUUGUGGCGCCGAGACGGAAGCCCUCGCCUGUGAUGAGUCCUUCGUCAUUCUUGCUGACUUCAGCUGCCUGGAUGAUCCGCCCUCGGCUCUGGUCUGCCAGCAGGACCUCCCCGUGGUCUCCGUGGACCAGGCGCAGAUCGACCUCUAUGCCUCGACUCCGUCAUACGAGAUCCACUGCGGGGGUCACGAGCCGCCUGCGACUGCCGAGGAGGGAGAGAGGGAGGGAGGGAUGAUGGAGAUGGUGUCCGAGCUGCUGGGGGAAGACGCAGACUCCAUCUGCCGCCUCUACCCCCACCCUUGGAUCCAGCUGGGUCUGGAGGAGGGCUGCGGGGCCUGGGCACAGGGCGCCACCGAUGCCCAGCCCGUCUGCAGAGACGAGAGCGCGGUGGGCGGCGUGGAGCGGAUCCCGGCGCUGGUCUCAGAGCUGCAGCCGUCGAUGGCUCUGCUGGGAGCGUACCCGUUCAGCACGGUGAUGCCUCAGGGACGCUGUGUGUGGGACUGGCACACGGAAUACACUCCGGCUGUAAGUGGGACGACGAUUAGUUGA